rnacentral:rRNA from 1 species
CAGCCGCCGCGGUAAUACGAAGGGGGCUAGCGUUGUUCGGAUUAACUGGGCGUAAAGGGCGCGUAGGCGGGUUUUUAAGUCAGAGGUGAAAUCCCAAGGCUCAACCUUGGAACUGCCUUUGAUACUGGAAGUCUUGAGUCCGGGAGAGGUGAGUGGAACUGCGAGUGUAGAGGUGAAAUUCGUAGAUAUUCGCAAGAACACCAGUGGCGAAGGCGGCUCACUGGCCCGGUACUGACGCUGAGGCGCGAAAGCGUGGGGAGCAAACAGGAUUAGAUACCCGAGUAGUCCCUGUCUCUUAUAC